GGGUAGAUGUUUCUGAUGCUGAUGUCCUUUGCCUGGGACCUGCCAAUGGACGGAGCAAGUUCCAGCAUGUAACUGGAUCUCUUCUACCAGCUGUGGAAGCUUAAUCUGGAGACAGAGGAUCCCUGGGGCGCUGUGGUCUCUCUAAAUAGAGUCUCCCUGUUACACCAAAUGUUCUGUGAGGCUUUGAUAAAAUGAAAAGCGAAAACCAAAACCAAACAGCGUCCGUGACAAGAAGCCCGACAGCCAGAGCCUUCGCUUAGCUUUGACAGAACUCCUAAAGCAAGCAUCGCCCUGAGUUCAUUUCUGUGUAAUAUUGUUUAUAGCCUCUUCAGAGAAUUGCCACCCACGACCCCAGCCCCAAGGUCAGCCAGCUUCUUCUACCUAAGUGGACUCUAACCUUCCCAACCCUGAUGGUGCAGAGACUGUCACGUAAACUGCCUCAGCUUUCUGGGGACUGUUCUGGAGUGCUCACCUACACUAGGCUUGGGGACCAUGUUGGUGCCAUUUCCCCAGACUGGGUACUGACCUCUUCACAGUUCCCGUGGCGCCUGAAGGACUGGAGAGUUUAUGUUCCCAUGUCUCCUCUGGGUGUUGGCCAGAGCUGUGAUCACCAUGACGGGAAUCCUCCUUAUUUGCUCCUUAAGCAAAUAAUCCUUGUGUUUUUGGUUCAAUAUAGAGCAAAAUGUAUCCAAAUGCCAGAAAUAUCUGUGAAGUGGCCUGAUUUUGUAACUGCUUUUCCUAAGCUCGGGACUAGUGAGUGCCCUGCAUGGGAUAGGUUGAUUUUCCCUAAUCAUACCAAGAGACGAUGA
rnacentral:lncRNA from 9 species